rnacentral:rRNA from 1 species
UACGUAGGGUGCAAGCGUUGUCCGGAAUCAUUGGGCGUAAAGCGCGCGUAGGUGGCUUCGUAAGUCCGUUGUGAAAGUCAAAGGCUCAACCUUUGAAUGCCGAUGGAUACUGCAAAGCUAGAGUACGGAAGAGGCGAGUGGAAUUCCUGGUGUAGCGGUGGAAUGCGCAGAUAUCAGGAGGAACACCAAUAGCGAAGGCAGCUCGCUGGGACGUUACUGACACUAAGGCGCGAAAAGCGUGGGGAGCGAACGAGG